UGGGAGACAAAUACUGCAGGAAAAGGAGCCACAUGGAGGAGGAGAGCCCAGCCCUGUGAGACUUCCUGUCAGUGAGAACACACCUUCCUGUGUCCUUAGGCUGCCGGUCAGCUGCAGCUACACUCGCUCUACACAGAUGACUUGCGGCUAUUUAUAGGCUACUCUGCACAACCGAGAUCAUUCAGAAGAAUGAACUCCAGAAGGAAAGGCCAUCACUUCUUUUCAAGCACUCCAGGACGCAGAAUACAAUUUCUCUUCUUCCCAGAGUUCAGAUCUCAUAACAUUACACCAAAUACCUGCGUGUUCGCUGAGCCAGGCACCAGGACGAGCGUCUCCCAGUGUACACAGAAUCCACACGCAGGCUCAGCUACACCUUUCUGAACUGUGUGUUGCGGACAAAGAAAGUGAAUUCUCAGAGGAGUCUUCCUCUAGGGCAGUGCUGCCUCCCCCAGGGCACUUUGUAGACGUGUUCCCCGUAACCUGCCAGUCCCAAUGCACUUCUAAUACCAUUAAUGCAAGCGUAUCUCUGCAAACACCAAAUACGUAUCUGUGUUUGACACACAAAACAUGUCAGUUUCACCUUCCCAGAACCAGCUGUCACCCUCUGCGCGCAGUAAGAACGCACGUAUGCGGACCACAACGGUGCAGGGCCCGGGCCCGUCUUCCUCCUGAACCAGAGCGCUGCACUCUCUCUCUGACCUUUCCUGCACCUUAGUUCUUCCAGGCUCUUUGGUCAUCAUCCGCGCAGGGCACACAUCCCCCAGGCAAUAUACCAGAGGGUUCCUGCUCAGGCCCUUGUGCGCCACACUCUGUUCCCAUAUGUCUGUCGCUCCUGGGACCCCGAACCACGUGACUGGGUGGGGAGCAGGCCAGCCUUUCCCUCACCAACUUCCUCCCGCCACACUUCCAGACCUUCACUCCUGCCCUCACAUACUGCUGUGAGGACAUCCUCCACAGAGCUUUCCUGACAGCAGUCUCCUGUCCAGGAAGAGCUACAGCCCUACUUGAACUUUUCCUUAUCCAAGCUCCUCCAUUCUCUUUUAUAUUCCCCCGUCUGUCUCUCCUAAUGAACGGAGAGGGUAAGAGGGCUCGCCGCCACCUCAGCUACCCCAGCACAAUGCAAGGCAGGAACGCUCAGCACCGCCUGUGUGGCAGGAGGCUGCACAUGGUCCACGCCCACCCGCAGCACAAGAGCUUUCUAGUUUCUUCAAUCACAGGGCACUCAGUGGAACCUCCUACACUGGUCACCUUUCUGGGCCUUGCUGGUCCCUUGGGAAACCACCCCUUGGCCCGCUUUCACUUCACAGUUUGGAUGGCAAUGGCAAUGACCCCGGUUCUGGGCUCCAGAGCUAUGCAGAAAACCCAGGUCUGACAAGCACGUUCCAGCCUCUGGCCGCCAAAAGACUCUGGGGUUGGAGGAAUAGCUAAAGUCGGUUAUCAGAGACGCCAUCCUGGGACUCAACUGGAAAUGUUAGGGAAGGAAAACCCCUGUCCAUGGGAGUGGCCGAGAAACCACUACAUGAAAAUAGGGGCCUUGGCUGACAGGAAAGCGGCGCAUACAGCAGGCCCCGGAGA